UGGCUCAAUUGGUAGAGCACUGGAUUUGUAUUCCUGAGGUUGCUGGUUCAAUCCCUAGU
rnacentral:tRNA from 1 species